AGAAUCAACGCUGGCGGCGUGCCUAACACAUGCAAGUCGAACGAGAAAGUCCGCAAGGAUGAGUAAAGUGGCGACCGGGUGAGUAACACGUAGCUAACCUACCCUCGAGUGGGGGAUAACCUGGGGAAACCUGGGCUAAUACCGCAUAAGAUCCCGACGGCGUAAGUCGGUGGGAGCAAAGGCCCGCAAGGGUCGCUGGAGGAGGGGGCUGCGGCCGAUUAGCUAGUUGGUGAGGUAACGGCUCACCAAGGCGAUGAUCGGUA
rnacentral:rRNA from 1 species